GCCGGGGUAGCUCAGCCUGGUUAGAGCGCCAGCCUCCACAAAAAAAGGGCGUUACUCAUAAUCUGGAGGCCGCGGGUUCGAAACCCGCCCCCGGCA
rnacentral:tRNA from 1 species